UACGUAGGGGGGCAAGCGUUGUCCGGAAUCAUUGGGCGUAAAGCGCGUGUAGGCGGCUCGAUAAGUCUGCUGUGAAAGUCCAGGGCUCAACCCUGGGAUGCCGGUGGAUACUGUCGAGCUCGAGUCCGGAAGAGGCGAGUGGAAUCCUGGUGUAGCGGUGAAAUGCGCAGAUAUCAGGAGGAACACCAAUGGCGAAGGCAGCUCGCUGGGACGUGACUGACGCUGAGACGCGAAAGCGUGGGGAGCAAACAGG
rnacentral:rRNA from 1 species